UGUUCAGUGGUGAAUGUGAGUGCUGUGACUCUCUCCUGGUACAAAGGAAACAGUUUAUUGUUCAGCAUCAGUGUGUCUGAUCUCAGCAGAAGUCUUUCUUUACAUCUGGAGUGUCUGGAUGAUUUCUACAGCUGUGUGGUGAACAAUCCCAUCAGAAACCAGACCACACAUCUCAACACUCAACUCUGUCAGACAUGUUCAGUUCAGACCGGUGACAGAGAGAUCACUUCUGCUGAUCCAAAAUUUCACAAAAGACAUAAAUCAAGAGCUACAGAGCAGGAUAAUGUGGUGUACGCAGGAGUCUCAAGACGCUGAUCAACUCUUGAUCAAAAUGUGAUUCUGUUUUUGAUUACUAACUUUAUCCCAAACACAGAGACAGGAGACAGAAUCACAUGUUCUUUGUGAAUAGAGAUAAAUGCCCAUUAAAUGUCAUUUUGUCAUAGUUACACAUAUAUUUGAAAAAAGAAAGAUUACUGUUAUUAUUUCACUCUAUGCCAGAAUAUUUUUGUGAGUUUGCCUGUCUGUGCUCUCUCUCUCUCUCUCUCUCUCUCUCUCUCUCUCUUUCACCCUCCCUUUCUCUCCCCUCGUC